rnacentral:rRNA from 1 species
UAAGUGAUGGCGACCGGCGCACGGUGAGUAACACGUAUCCAACCUGCCGAUAACUCGGGGAUAGCCUUUCGAAAGAAAGAUUAAUACCCGAUGGUAUAAUGAUUCCGCAUGGUUUCAUUAUUAAAGGAUUCCGGUAAAGGAUGGGGAUGCGUUCCAUUAGGUUGUUGGUGAGGUAACGGCUCACCAAGCCUUCGAUGGAUAGGGGUUCUGAGAGGAAGGUCCCCCACAUUGGAACUGAGACACGGUCCAA